GAGAGGCCAAUCACAGAGCAGUGCGAAAACACGUGGCCUACUAAGUGCCACAAGAUGGUGGCUCCGGACUGUGGAAUUCGGGCUGAAACAAAAUGGCGCCUCCGCUGGCUCAUGAAAUGGCGGCUCCUCACCCUGGAAUGCAGACUGGAACAAAAUGGCGCCUCCCUGUGUAGGUAGGUGGGAGGGAUUUUCUGUCUUGUCCCAUCCUACCUGCGGGCGGGCCCAGUAGCACUGGGUCCUCCCCUUCACCCGCAGCCCUUUCCCCGCCCCUGCACGCAUCCACCCGGCGCCUCCAGCUGGUAGCCAGGAAGAACGGCGGGCUGGAGGCGCCGCUCUGCUGAGCGGCUGCAGGUGCCGGCAGUUAUCGCUGCUUAACCUGGCAGAAAGCGGAACACCACGCAACCUCCCCAGCUGUGAUGAGGAACGAAUCGGAAGGAUGGAAGGGGGAGCUAACACAGUUUUAGUUAAAUACGGUUGUUAAGUUUUUUAUGAUACAAUACAUCACCUCCACAGCCCCAGAUAUUUCUCAGAAGAGAAUGGAGCAUUGUAUAAAACGGGAUUCAUGAAUGACGGCUAGAAGUAAGUGUACACUGGGAUCAUUUGAACAGUCAACUCCUACGCUAAUUGUAGCCACACAGAAUGGUGUUUGGGCGUAGGCUGCGUUUGAUUAAGUGUAUAAUCUCGGCUGCAUAUUUUAACACAAAAAUGUCACUCAGUCAUUCUGAGAGGAUACAAAGACACGUGGGUUACCAAGUGUCCCAAAAUGGCGUCUCCUCUCCGUGGAAGGCAGGCGGAUACAAGAUGGCGCCUCCCUAUGCAGGGAGGUGGGAGGGAUUUCCUGUGCAGGGCCCUGCCACCUCUGGUGGGGCUGAUUGACAUUGGGCCCUGCCCUUCACCUGAGGUUUCUUUCCCACCCCGGCAUGCAGUCGGCACAGCGCUGCCUGCUGCUGACCAGGAAGAGCUGCGGGCCGGAGAGGCAGGUGUGUGGAGCAGGAGCAGCAGCUUUACACGCCACAGCGUUCGGUGCCUGGCUGCCCGAGUGGUUGGCUGUAAAUGCGGUGAUCAUUAGAUGGUACAGUAUAUACGCAUGGUACAGUUAUGGAAAGUGGCCAGCUAUGUUAUCCGGCCGCCCUCCCACAACUUCUUGUGCUACUCCAGCCUCCUGGCUCGAAGGAGAGCAUAAGAAGCAGAAAUGUAUUUGCACUCUGUCACUGUACUUCUCUUUAUCUUCUAAUAUCAUGUGACUGUUAGCGCCCAUUUUUACUAAAAGGAAUUCCAUAACAAGAACACUUGGCAUGAAUCAAUGACAAGUUACACAAUCCAUAGGAAGACAGAGUAUUUAAGUAAUGCAGACAAAGAGUUACAAAUUUUGCUGGAGAAUCUAAAAAUAAGUAAAUGUAAUAGAUACAGUAAUAGCAAUAUUAACAUGCAAAUGCACAAUACCAAUCACCCUCACAGGCAAAACAAUCUCAACGCGCACUGAGUAGAUUUACAUUACUGCCAAUUGCAAACAGCGGCGGACAGCAAGGAACAAAACCACUUUCCACCUCUCCUCCUCUCGCUACUUCCCAGGCUCCCUUUCUCUCCUUAAUACUCAGUUCCCAGACCUCACCUCCCCACGUGCCUGCCUCGGGACCCACAGCCAUCACAGGCAG
rnacentral:lncRNA from 7 species